rnacentral:lncRNA from 1 species
GGAGAAAUGUCCUCUGGUCUGAUGAAACAAAAAUAGAACUGUUGGCCAAAUAUCAUCAUAUGUUUGGAGGAAAAAGGGGAGGCUUGCAAGCUGAAGAACAACCAUCCCAAACUGUUGAAGCACGGGGGUGGCAGCAUCAUGUUGUGGGGGUGCUUUGCUGCAGGAGGGACUGGUGCACUUCACUAAAUAGAUGUCAUCAUGAGGAAAAAAAAUUAUGUGGAUAUAUUGAAGCAAUAUCUCAAGACAUCAGUCAGGAAGUUAAAGCUUGGUCGCAAAUUGGUCUUUCAAAUGGACAAUGACCCCCAAGCGUACUUCCAAAGUUGUAGCAAAAUGGCUUAAGGACAACAAAGUCAAGGUAUUGGAGUGGCCAUCACAAAGCCCUGACCUCAAUCCUACCCGAAAACGUUUGACGCAAGUUGAACAAUUUAAAGGCAACGCUACCACAUACUAAUUGAGAGUAUGUAAACUUCUGACCCACUGGGGAUGUGAAAGAAAUAAAAGCUUAAAUAAAUCAUUCUCUCUACUAUUAUUCUGGCAUUUCACAUUCUUACAAUAAAGUGGUGAUCCUAACUGACCUUAGACAGGGAAUUUUUACUAGGAUUAAAUGUCAGGAAUUGUGAAACUGAGUUUUUAAAUGUAUGUAAACUUCCGAAUUCAACUGUACACAAGUGAUAUAUAGUAAUGUGUCUCUCCUUGUCCCUGUAGUUCCUAGUGUGUGUCGGUAUGAUCCUGUGGAACUUYGUAGUGAAGCAGGAGGACAUCUUGGGACAGGUGUUGACAUUCACACUGCUCUAUGGGUCACUCUACAGCACAUAUGUCUGGACUGGUAUGUACCAUGUGUCUGGACUGGUGUCUGGACUGGUAUGUACCAUGUGUCUGGACUGGUAUGUACCGUGUGUCUGGACUGGUAUGUACCGUGUGUCUGGACUGGUAUGUACCACGUGUGUCUGGACAGGUAUGUACCGUGUGUCUGUGUCUUGGAUGGGAUGUACCGGUGUCUGGCUGGUAUGUGCAGCGUGUGUGUCGGACUGGUAUGUGCCGCGUGUUUGUCUGGAUUGGUAUGUUACCGCGUGUGUGUCUGGACUGGUAUGGUGCCGCGUGUGUGUCUGGACUGGUAUGUACCGCGUGUGUGUCUGGACUGGUAUGUACCGCGUGUGGUUGAUGAUGUUACGGUGUGUCUGGACUG